UUCAGAUUAGAAACCUACAGUUAAAAAAAAAAAUACUACAGCUACUUAAAGGAAAACACCUGGUUCUGUCAGUAAUAUUACACUAAGAAUCUUUCUUUCAGUUGAUAGUUAACUUAGGAAGACCCACUCCUGAAAAAAAUGGCCUAAGGUGCUCUGCGGUGAGCCCGAGCCGCCUCAGUGGCUCUCACUGACAGCAGGGGACCUCAUCAGACAGCAGGUUAACAAGGCCUGUUAGUCUGAGUCUUCUGGUUUGCCUCAGGCUCGGCUGUGUGCCAGACCUUGCUGUCUGUUAGCCUCGUUGUUUCUUUGGAUUCUUUCUUCUAUUGCCUAUUUCCAACCGUCUGUCUCUUUUGUUUGUAACUUUCAGAAAUUACCAGCCUGAAACAAUGCUGUCUUCCUUCUCAACAAACUAGUAACGGAAUAGGAUGCCUAAUGGCUGUUCCUGGCUGAUACACGUGUCACCACUCUAGGUAGAGAGUCUGCUUCAACAGCUGAGAAGAAAGGAGUCAGGAAAGUCCUUGCUCUGCAGCCAGCUCUACUGCAGCAGGCAGGCCUCAUGCAGGGUUGCUGAUACUCCAGAGCAAUGAAAUGAGUCACUGGUAAAGCAGAGCCGGAGAUUGAGGGAGCGAAGGAACAGAAAAGCAAUGGGGAGUAAACAGGCUCCGCCUGAACACACGAGGAACAAGGGAAUGGAAUACUGCGUUUCUCUCAGGGGGUGUGAGCAGCUAGAAGAAAAGUCCUUCCCUCCCUCUUCUUCCCUGUCUUCACACAUGCGCACAAGCUCAGGAACCGCUCCUCCUCAUCUCCAGGUGACACCUCCACCUACCUAGAGGACUACUGCAUUCGGGCAUCCAAAAGGCUUGUCCCACACUGAGCUCCUGACCUUCCCAGCCCUGCUUCCCCACCUGCUCCAGCCUGUAGUCCUCCCCGCCAUGGCUCAAUCCACUCAGAUAGUGCUCAGGCCAAAAACUUCAAAGCCAUCCGUGAUUCCUCCUUUUCUCUCACCCCACAUCCAAUCCCUCGGCCAGUCUCACUGGCUAGACAGCGUAGUCACUUCCGACCCACUGUUUCACCCGGAUUACAGCAACGGCCUGCUAACUGGCUCCCCUGCCUCCACCCUUGGUCUUUAGAACAAAGAUCAGAUCUGGUCACACCUCUGCUCAAACCUCUCCACAGCUCACCCUGGCGUGCACCCCAUCCAGCACACAGCCCUUGGCUGUUCCUGAAGUUCUCCAGGCACUCCUGCCUCUGGACCUUUACAUGUGUGCACCAUUCCCCAUGACUUGCUUCCUCACCUUCUUCCAGGAUUUGCUCAGAGGCCACCAUAUUCAACUGUCUAAUCCCCUCCACCUCCCUACCUCCUGUAGCAUUCGCUGUCCCUACUCCCAGUUUGAUUUUUCAUAGUACUUAUAAUCUUCUAAUAGUAAAUAAGUAAGUAAAUUAUACAGUCUAUCUGCCUGCUCUGCCCCGAGGAGGGCCUGGAUUUCUGGCUGUGACUUUUCCCUGCUGGAACCUACCCCAUUGCUUAGGACGUCGCAGGCACUCUACAGUAUUUACUGAGUUAAAUAAAUGAAGUCCACUAAAAGAAAUACGCCGUCCAUUACAGGUACCUUCCUUUAAUUUUUACACUCCCCCCUUUUAUUUUCUUUCAUUACAUGGUUAUAAGUAACUUUAAAAAAGAGUCCUCUCUCUCCUAUCCCUGUUCCCUAAGGCACUGAGCAACCCUUCCAAGAAGCAAACGCUGCUGUUAAUUCCUCUAUCUAUCCAGAGACAGGUUAUACUCAUAAUACUCACACAUGCUUCUUUUGAUUGAAAUGGCAGCAUACUAUAGACACUAAUUUUAAACUUGCUUUUUAAACUGCUUAUAUAUCCUGAGGAGCAUUCCAUUACAGUUCAUAAAUACCUCCCUUGUCCUUUUUAGGGCUGCAGAGUAUUCCACUGCAUGAUAAAUCAUAUACCGUGCGACCUCAAGUUCCCCCGAUCGACUCUGAAGUUUCUUCACUUUUUUACUAUUAAAAAUUCUGCACUAGAUACUCUCGUGUAUUCAUCACUUCCCACACGUGCACCUGUCAUCUGUAAGACACAUCCCAAGUGGCAGCACUGCUGGGCCCAACGACCUGUGGUUUCUGUCAGAUACUGCUAAAAUGCUCUUCCAAAUACACUCCCCCAAAUGGGCUGUGUUUUACAGGUGACUCUCACAGAAUAAAUGCAUUUCAAUAAAAUUAGGAAUACAAUCAAUUAAGAAACUAACAAACAAAAGCCUGAAAUUCUACAUUUUGCAAGUUCUAAGCUCUGUAGAAUGAUACUCAAAAUAGUCUUCAAAAACAAUAGCCUUUGUUUUAAAAGGUCAAGUGGAAUAAGGUUGUUUUUACUUCCUGUGAUAUCUGAUCAUUUUUAGAUUUAAGAUUUAUAUAAUUGUAUUUCAAUACAGUAAACUAUAGAUUAAAAUUUAAAAUUUUUAAUGGUAACAUUUCUGAGCUGUGGAUCAAUCUGGAUCUUAUUUCUGUUCUUCCUGCUUACUUUAUGGUUCUAAGUCUUAACUUCUCUUUGCACCGAUUUCUAAAUUUCCACAAAGUGGGUGUUUACAUUACUUCUCUCAUCAAAUAAUUUUAAGUCUGCCAAGGUUAGGUUAGCACAGCUGUUUGAAAUUCUUAGCAGAACACGCCACGCUUCCCUCUAGAACCGCUGCAGCUGCGGCCUCACCUCGUGGUCUGGGUUGGGGAUGUUUUCCAGGAUCAUUUUUGCCUGCUGAAAGUGCUUGCUGGCCGCCACGUACAGCUCUGGAGCCUGAGGAGGAGGGCUGUAUUUAUUGAGGUCAGACAUUUCCUAAAAAAAAGAUAUUAUUCGAUACAUGCUUAAUACGAAAAACCUCUAAAAUGACUGUUCACAUACAGAUACUAAAGCGAACACUCAGCCUGUGCCUCAUUUUUCCUGUCCACUUCUCAGCCUUCAUACACCACACCUCCAAUUAUUCUCGUUAUUUAAAUACCUGUUCAUGUUGUGAGCACAUCCACCACAGCCGAAUGGCUUCUGUACUGUUUAAAACUGCUGUGUUACCACCUUAUCCCGCUGGUCCCACUGGUGCAACAACAGUUCCACGUGACUAUCUACUUCAACAAAACAGCUAGGUACAAACAGCACAUCUCCAAGAAGGUCUAAGACUAAAUAUUUUACAAUUAUGUGAAGGAGCAGGUUCACCUUGAACUGCAAAUAGUGCACUGGUGGUGGUGUCAUUACACUGUUGAAUGGAGCAAAUCUGUGCUCGUAUCGAACUUGUUCACUGUCGAGCUCAAACUUGGGUUUUCGUACUUUGCCAUCCAUGUCAAAUGCUACCAUGGUCUACGGAAGAAAGAGAAAAAAAGAUGACAUCAACAUGAAAAUAUGAACAUCCUCAUUACUACAGGACAGAAAACAAGAAACAGCCGUUGACAUACGGUUAAAACAAGGCUCAGAAAUCAGAAACAAACAGGGAGAGAAAACAAACUGGCUUUAGUAUUCGUUUUGCUGUUACGUGCCACCUUUUAUACAGAAAAUAGUCAAGUUCCACGUCUAAUAAAUGACUAAUUUUCCUGGUGAAACUGUACCACAUGCACAUUACUCUUCCGUGCCUAAUGCUUUUACAGUAGCUUUGAAACCUUCAAGUAAAAGGUCCUGAAGAAAAAGUAGCGCACCGUCUAUGUUAAAGCAAAGCUUUAUACUGCACUGCCCAGGGAAACAGAUUCAGUAUCUUGUAGUAGUUCAUGGUGAAAAAGAACAUGAAAAUGAAUACACGUAUAUUCAUGUGCGACUGAAGAAUUGUGCUGUGCACCAGAAAUCGACACAACACUGUAAACUGAAUAUAACUCAGUUACAAAAAAGGCACUGGUCCUGUUUUUCAAAGAGAAGUCCAUGUUCUGUUUUAUGUAUUUUAAUAUAAGUUGCCUCAAAUCAUUUCUUGAAUCGCCAAGUACAACUUAAGAGAUACUCACUACCUCCUGGAAAUGCCUGCUUUGCUUAGGCCAUUCACUGUGGAACUUGCCCCCUUCCUAAUUAAUGCACUUCUAAAAAAGUCCAAACCCCACCUCUUCUAAGAAACCGUUCCUGAUCAUCAUCAGAAGCAUUACCUGUGCCGCAUAUAUGUCACCUGACCUGUCAUUAACUAGGCACUGAGACAAGGAUCACAUCUGAUUAGACUUGGUCUCCUCCAGUGUACUCAGUACAAGGUAUCUGACACAUGCCAAGGGGUCGACAUUUGUUAAAUAAAAAUCACUAGACUUGGGGGAAAAAAGGGUAAUUUUCACUAAGCAGAUAGUGAAAACAAAGGUGAAAUUAGAACCUGGAAAGACUCACAGAAGAGUUCAUUUUAUUUAAACUAUAUAAUAGCAAUGUAGUUAAAAAAACAACUUACUUUAAACAUUCCAGCACACAUGUUCUGAUAUGCCUGGCUCAUGGUGAUCUCUCGGCUCAAUGGGCGAACUGUAAUUAAAAAGAAGAUCAUCCAGACUCCUUCCUUCCUCCUCUUGCUUUAUAAAACAUCUUCCACCUUGUUUGCUAAAUUACAAUUUCAAACAAUUUGUUCCUAAAGGCUAAGUUUUAUUUUAUGGCCAAAAUCAACAAAUAGUAAAAUACAGUAGAAAGGCUAAACAAUAACUGUAUUCUCCAGAUGGCUAAUACCGUAAGAUUUUAGUAUGAAUUAACUGUAACUUCUUCUGAAGCCAUAAUACAGAGAUGACUUAUCCAGGAGAGCCAUGGAUACAGUUAUUUAAUGACCUACUCAAACUGUUGAAAUCUGAAAGCACUAUUUUGUAACGACUGCAGCCUAUCUGUACCUUCCCAUGAGUGAUUAAUAGGGGAGUCCUUUGGAAACCUUUCUCUGUCCUCGUGGUCCUUGAGCGGUAUGCCGAGACGCUCUGUGACCACCCUUCUGGGCCAACUAUACCGGCACAACUCCAGAUCUACUUCCUGCCUGAGCUGUCAGCCCUCUGCCAAAGGUCUCUUGCUGCCUUGAUCCUUAACCUAUCUUAUGCGGCUACUUCUUGUCCUAAGAUCCUUUGACAAAUGAAGUCGCAAAGAAAAGAAAAGCAAGGAAAGGAACCAAAAAGGUUUGCACCAUUAACAGUGUGACUCAGUUUUCACCCUUAUACUUUUUGAAGAGAGUAUAAUGACUAAUUCACCCAUUCAAAAGCACGGGUAGCUCUCCAUCUAUCUAUCUGUUGAAAUUAAAGUGCACUCCAAUGUUACUUAUUAAGUUUAAAAAUAAUUCACAGCACCUUUCUUCUUUUUCUUUGUUUUUUUACUACUACGGCCUUUCUGCUGCUCUUCCAUUAUCCUUUCCUCUGCCAUCUGAGAGCCAUCGGCACGACUUAAUGUCGACAUCAACCAUGCAUAAAGGAAUUCAGAGAGAUACCUUAAUGGAAAGAAAAUGUUAGUUAAUGGUCAAUGUCUAAAUGAGGAAGCUUGGACAAUACAUGCACUGGUGCUAAUAAAGAGGUUUUUUAAUAA